rnacentral:misc_RNA from 1 species
AAAUUUCAUAUGCUAUACCAUAAGUAGAUGGGAAGACUGCGCCCCUUUUUGUUAAAAUCCGAUUAACAGUUUACAGUUACAAAAAGAAGAAAACCAGGCUUGAGCUUCCUCCUUGAUUUUCUCUCCCUAGAUUCCCUCGUUAUUUUCGGCCUUUCUGCUUCUUUUAAUACAGCAACGAGAAGUGGCCGCAAAUUGAGCCGCGGAUGGACCUUAACGACGACGUUUUGUCCUCCUACAGUCACCACCACCACGACGAUGAUUCCUCCGUCCGUACGCCUAAAAUCUUCGACCGCUACUUCUCCUCAUCGUCGUCGUCCUCAGACGACGAAUCUCAACUUUCCAAUUCUUCCAUGGAAGCCACUAGCAAACGCCUUGAUUACAUGAUCCAAUUCUUGGACCGCAAGCUCUCCUGUCCUUCAAACAGUAAUUACACUAAUAACAAUGCCAAUUCUGCAGAUAAUGACACCAAUAAUUCUAAAAGAAACAAGUCUUCGGCUUUGUCGGAGUUCAUAGGGAAAGGAGGCGGAACCGGAAUUUUUAGACUUCCUGUUCGAGGAGCCGUCCACACCGGCCGCCCACCCAGCCUUGAGGUUCAACCCCAUCCGUUAAGGGAAUCCCAAAUCGGUGGUUCUUUGAGAACCAUCACCACCACGGAGACUCAGUUAUGGACUGGGAGUGAUAACGGGGGCGUUCAGGUAUGGCAAUUCAAGGAUUUAUACGGAGGAUGCGGGGACUCCGCGCCAUAUAGGGAGUCUGUGGCUGUCGGAUCGGGGGUAACGUGUAUGGUUGGGGAUGAGGGAAGCAGAGUGGUUUGGAGCGGGCAUAGGGAUGGGAGGGUUAGGUGUUGGAAGAUGGAUUUCAGUUCGGAUGGAUUCAGGGAAGUCGUGUCUUGGGUUGCUCAUCGUGGGCCUAUUCUGUCCAUGGUCAUCACUAGAUAUGGGGAUUUAUGGUCAGGCUCAGAAGGUGGUGCCAUCAAGAUAUGGCCAUGGGAAGCUAUUGAGAAAUCAUUUUCUUUUACAGAGGAGGAGAGACACAUGGCUUCCUUGUUAGUAGAGAGGUCAUAUAUCGACCCUAGAAGCCAAGUCACUAUAAAUGGCUUCUGCAAUGUUUUAACUUCUGAUAUUAGAUACUUGCUAUCUGAUAAUUCUAGAGCAAAAGUAUGGAGUGCUGGUUAUUUGUCAUUUGCAUUGUGGUAUGUCUUCAAUCUAGUUACACUACUUUAAGCUUAAUAAUUUGUUACUAUUGCAAUGGUCGUUGGAAGAUUUAUACUUCAUACUUUUCAGAAUAAUUGCAAAUAUCUAACUAUAAACUGUUACAAGUUUGUCUAAUGUCAUAACAACUCACCAUUUUCUGUAGGUCAUCUAUGGGAAUUUUAGCCUGGGGGCAUAUAGCGAAUGCUUUGUUAAUUAAAUUGUGAUAUGAUCUUUUAAAAUCUACAUUUUAUAUCUGAAACAAGUGAACAUUUCAUAUUCAAGCAGUAUUAUGUCUUGGAUGGAAGAAUAUUAAGAUCUAUAGUAUAUCCUAAUUGCUACCCACUUAAUAGUGAAACCAAAAAUAAUAAGAAGAAAAUUUACCGUAUUAAAGUCUUUUACUCACACAAAAUAUCAGCCAAGGACCCUUGAACUUGCAUUCCUAAUUGAUUAGUAAUUAACAUGUCAGCAAGCAUUUCAGCUAAGCAUGAAAUUUAUCAAGUGCCCUUUCUGGGCCAUGUACUUUUGUGUUGUGGGUAAUGCAAUUCCUGCAAUUUGAUAUCUGAGCUAAAUUACCAUUCUUUGACAAGAAAAUGACAAUUGAAACAAAUUAAAACACCUAAUAUGCAUUUUGGUUUCGUCCUUAUUAAUCUUAAUGAACAGGAUCCCUUUCACCCUUGCCUUUCUAGGUAGUUAGGAUGGAAGAAAGCAUAAGGGCUUUCAAGAGAAGGUAAAAUCCUUUCCCUGUUCUUAUAGAUAGUUGGAUUAAAACUAUUACAGGGUAAAAUACUUUGUUGAUGUUCCUGCAGUAUUAUAUUUUGUAGUUUUCCUAUCUUUUAUGACUUUGUUUUUGUACUUGGUUUGCACUCUCUUGGUGCCCUUGAUGAAUUCUCCAUAUUCUCAAGAAACAAAAGAAGGAUGGGGCUAUGCUGAGAGUUCUAUUUUACAGGGAUGCUCACACGCGGGAGUUGCUGUAAGUAUUCAAUAUGGAUGGUCAGAUUGAAAGGAUGGACAUGUCAUUAGGACAGGAUAUUACAUUUGAAGGUGAGAUCAAGAUGAAAGUCGUUGCUGGUCCAAAGAAAGAGAAGAUUCAAAGUUCAUUUGGUUUCUUGCAACGUUCAUGUAAUGCUAUAAUGGGAGCAGCUGAUGCUGUUCGUCGAGUUGCUGCAAAAGGUGGAUUUGGAGAUGAUAACCGGAGAACUGAGGCAUUGAUUAUAACCAUUGAUGGAAUGAUUUGGACUGAUUGUGCAAAUGGCUUACUUGUGCUGUGGGAAGGAAAUGGCAAUCGUUUGCAAGAUUUCCAGUACCAUUCUUUUGCUGUUCAAUGAUUUUGUACAUUUGGGUUGCGAAUAUGGGUGGGUUAUGCUAGUGGUACCAUCCAGGUAUUGGACUUGGAGGGUAACUUGCUUGGAGGUUGGGUGGCUCACAGCAGUCCUGUCAUAAAAAUGGCUGUUGGGGCUGGUUACAUUUUCACCUUAGCUAAUCAUGGUGGUAUACGUGGAUGGAGUGUCUUGUCUCCUGGACCUCAUGACAACAUGUUGCGUUCAGAACUAGCUGGCAAAGAAUUCUUGUAUACAAGGAUAGAGAACCUGAAAAUAUUAGCUGGUACAUGGAAUGUAGCUCAAGGAAGAGCAUCUUGUGACUCGCUUGUUUCCUGGUUCGGUUCUGCAGCUGGGGAUGUUGGUAUUGUUGUUGUUGGGUUGCAAGAAGUUGGAAUGGGUGCCGGUGUUCUAGCAAUUUCUGCAGCAAAAGAAACCGUAUGAUUCUUGCAUGGAUGUCACUGAUAGUGAUCACAAGCCUAUGCGAUGCAUAUUUAAUGUUGAUAUUGCACGAGUUGAUGAGUCAGUUGGGAGAUGAGUUUGGGGACAUAAUGAAAUCAAAUGAGGAAAUUAGACACAUGCUUGAAGAACAAUGCAAGAUUCCAGAAACUAUUGUCAGCACAAACAAUAUAAUCCUUCAAAACCACGAUACAACCAUUUUACGUAUCAUAAAUAAAUGUGGGAAAAGUAAUGCUCUGUUUGAAAUUAUCUGUGAAGGUCAAUCUACAAUUAAUGAAGAUGGACAAGCAUCAGAUCGUCAUCCAAGGGGUUCCUUUGGCUUUCCACAAUGGCUUGAGGUCAUUCCAGUAGCUGGUGUAAUAAAACCAGAUCAUAUUGCCGAGGUAUCUCUUCAUGCUGAGGAUUUCCCUACCCUUGAAGAGUUUGUUGAUGGCGUCCGUCAAAAUUCAUGGUGUGAAGAUUCCAGAGACAACGAAGUUAUGCUGGUGCUCAAAGUGCAAGGUACAAACAACACAACUGACUCUAAGAAAUCAUCGCAUCAGUGUGCGCCACUGCUGUUCAUUGCAGGCAGUAAGGAUUUAUCCAAAAUCCAAUCACUCUAGGCAAGUCCAAGGAAAUCUUCUCCGCCGGUCUCAUUAUCAACAACUCAGUAGUUCCUAUGACGUGGUUGACCACCUACGUAAUUUGCAUAGUCCUUGAUUAAAAAAUGACUUGCAUUGGUUGGAUGGCAAACACUUUCUGAAAUAUUGUAUUAUCCCUCCUCAACCAUAGGGAUUCCUUAUAUCUAAAUGGACUGUUCAACAAGCAUCUUGAUGUAAGAGAGGAGCCAUGUUGUGCUGUUUGCUUUUACGAGUUCAAUCUUCAUUCAUAAAUUUUCAUUUAGUUUAUGUAGAGUCGUUAUUUAUGCACAUGAGCAGUUUGUGAAGCGAGAUCGAGUCCAACUUGUUUGUAAAUGUACAUAAAAAAGGAUUGUAGCAUGCAGAAAAGGAUUGUAGCAUGCAGCUUUUCUUUUCCCCUUUGAAGGGUGCUUUUAGGCUUUAGCCUUUGUUUUCCGUUUAAAGCACCCAAUAUACUGGGCAGAGUCCAGAAGUUGAUGCUUAUAGAUAUUUAAGCCUUUUUCUUUUAAGACAAAUAAGGAAAAGCUAUUCCGCUAAUGUCAUGAAGAAGAGCUCGAAUCAAUCCUGGAGAAGGGCUGUGUGCAUCAGUUGAAAAUGAAAAGCCAAAUAAGCUAAUUAACUGGAAGUGAAGGUUAUGUAUUAUUUUUUUUUUCUUUGUUUUAAUUUGUUGCUGCUUGUGUAACGUUUAUUUCCGUUCCUUUCUACAGCGAUGCAAUUUGUUUGUAUGUGAAAACUUUAGACUAUUCUGUCUCUUUCUGGAGCUCUGCAAGGGUAUCAUGCUUUUCUCCAUCAAAUUUAGGGUUCUGCAGCAACUGAGGAAGAAUGGUAGGGUUAAUCUGUUGAUUGAUUAGUUGGAAGUUGUUAUUGAGCUGGCCAAUGAUUGUUCAAUUAGAAUGAAUAUAAAUAGAUUUGAGUUGUAAACAUUAGAGAAUAAUCGAUGAAUUGAACAUUUACAUUCUUCUCUUUUCCUCUCAAAUUCUGUUUCUAUCUUCUUUCUCCCUCUCUAUCUCUUCCUCUCUCAUUUUCUUCCUCUUUUCCUUCAAUUUCCUUCUCACCAAACAGGAAUUAGGACCAAGGCCCAAAUACUUUGAAUAAUUCAAAACUUCAAAUCUCCAUUCCGCAUAUCCAUGUACUCCCAAAUUCUAAUAUGAGGGUUCAUGUUAAAUUCAGUCCAUUGAAUUUACCAAGUCAAAUCAAAUUAGAGAAAUUCCGCUAACUAUCAAAAGGGUAAUCCAUACUUACAGAUCAUAAACACUGUUGUUGGUGUCCAUAAUUCGAGGGUAGCUCCCCAUAGGAAGCAUUUUUAUUCGAUAUCUGAAAAAUUAACAAAUUAAGGGUACAUCAACAGAUAAAUAUUAUUGAUGAUUUGAGAGUAUAACCUUGACUCAGAGAUACAAACAACCCCCUUUGCUUUAAGAACCAAAAAGCUAAUCCUUUCAUCAUAAAGAAGCUCAUGUGAAGAAAAACAGGGACUUGAACAAGAGUGAAAAAAUUGUGCACCAUACCUAGAUAUCAAUUUUUUUUUUGGCAUAUUUAUGCUUGAUAUCAAGAAGGCUCAUAAGAAAUUACUUAUAUCAACAA